GAUGAAGAACGCAGCGAAAUGCGAUAAUUAAUGUGAAUUGCAGAAUUCCGUGAAUCAUCGAGUCUUUGAACGCACAUUGCGCCUCAUGGCAUUCCGUGAGGCAUGCCCAUCUCAGCGUUAGAAAAUAUUCUCAAAUUUUAGUUUUGUGCUAAAAUUUGGAUCAUGUCAAAGAAGCUAUUACUAUUAUUGUGAUCGCUCUUUGGAAAUUGAUAGGUCUUUGAGUUGCUACUCAUAGAACGUGAUGAAUCUUUCUUCGUUCUAUUGUAAUUCACUCUGGUAGUCCUAAAACUUGUAUGCCUGUGGCAUAUCUUGUAAUUUGACCUGAGAUUGGGUAGGAUACCCGCUGAACUUAAGCAUAUCAAUAAGCGGAGGA
rnacentral:misc_RNA from 1 species